rnacentral:rRNA from 1 species
CAGCAGCCGCGGGAAUACGUAGGGUGCGAGCGUUAAUCGGAAUUACUGGGCGUAAAGCGUGCGCAGGCGGUUUUGUAAGACAGGCGUGAAAUCCCCGGGCUUAACCUGGGAAUGGCGCUUGUGACUGCAAGGCUAGAGUGCGUCAGAGGGGGGUAGAAUUCCACGUGUAGCAGUGAAAUGCGUAGAUAUGCGGAGGAACACCGAUGGCGAAGGCAGCCCCCUGGGCCAACACUGACGCUCAUGCACGAAAGCGUGGGGAGCAAACAGGAUUAGAUACCCGCGUAGUCCCUGUCUCUUAUAC